CUCAGCUAAGUAUCAUGCAUUAGGUGGGCUCAGGUGGUCACUUAUUGGUGCCUGUCAAAGGCAGAAAACAAACUCAACAGUCGUCACAAGGGAGACCAGGCCACUAGAAUAUUGGGACAAGGAGCAGGUCUGAAGCAGGAAAAAGAAGAGGGGUGGGGAGACAGCAAAGCAGGGGACCCCUGGCAGGGGUCGGCUGUCCAUAAAUCCAAGUUUCUCUCCUCGAACCCCACCCCUCUUCCUCCAGUCCGGAAAAGGCUUCCUCCUGGGAGACCCCCAGUGAAAUGAGCUGUUCUUAUCUCCUGAGCCUGGAAAUCCUUUUACUUCUCUUUAACCGGUUCACCAGCACGUGGUCUUCGAUCCCAGCCAGCAACUCCCUCUCAACUUGGGACCCGAACCCAGAGACUGGAAGAGCUGGGAGUUCCACAAGGAUCUGACUAGUAAGGGCUUCUUCCCGGCCUACUUGGUAAAGCCACGUGCUCGCGGCCUCCUAGGGUAGGGGCGUUCUGGAAUGUUGCUGCCCACAGAGCUUUCCCAGGCUUCAGCGCUGCCCUGCGGGCGCACAGACGCGCUCCCGCGGCAGCACACCCACGGGCUCUCCCGAGCGCGUACACGUGCACCCACGCGGAGGCAAGAUCCACACAGCUGCCUCUGUCAGGCAGGCACGCAAGGGGUGUUGUGUUUGAGGUGUAAACGGCUCUCGCUUGUCCUCCGUCUCCUCCUUCCUCUUCUUCCAACCUGUUUCCUCAGGGCUCCGGGUCCAGUCCCGGGUUUAGGAAUCAGCGCCAAACUCCCGGAGGCUUUGUUCAGAAGACGCCUCCUCCCUCCAGGUCCGCGGGCGCCGCGGGUCCCGGGCUCCAGGGCGAGCUCCGCGGAGCCGGGGCGGCGCGGAAGGAUCCGAGUUCCAGAGCUGCAGGCAAACUCGUUCGGGCAGAGGGACUGCGCGGCGACACCUCCGACACCUCCGAAAAAUAGACCAAAGGGACCCCGCGGAGCAGGACAUCGGCGGACACCACCGCGGUCCGGAGGAGUCUGCUUAAAGCCAUCAGCGCCUCCCCAGUGGCUUUCUCUCCAGUGAAAGAAGCCGGUUUCUGACAAGUCCAGGGCAAAGAAAAACCUGCGGCGAACUAAGUCCGGGGACUCUCCGAGAAACAGAGUGCUUCCAUCUUCUCCUCACUUAAAACUUGGCCGCUUCUGGGACUUCACUGAGGGACGGCGGAGUCGCACCAGCGUGGACCACAAGCAGAGGCGAGCGAGCACUGCCAAAUACUUUUGGACGCGGGGGUGGCCCCUUUUUGCUUCAGGAUUGCCCCCUGGCCACCCUUCCCUGCUGAGCUGAUAGGGACGGCUAAAGACCUGGAGAUAAAGUGCCCGGACUGAGAUGAGGAGAGGGAACACUUAAGCCACUGUAAGAAAAGAACUGGGAACAGGGCAAAGUUCAAAUAUUUUCCUGGGUGCUUCUAAGUAAGUGUGUGUGUGUGUGUGUGUGUGUGUGUGUGUGUGUGUCUGUGAACUGGGAACAGGGCAAAGUUCAAACAUUUUCCUGGGUGCUUCUAAGUAAGUGUGUGUGUGUGUGUGUGUGUGUGUGUGUGUGUGUGUGUCUGUGAACUGGGAACAGGGCAAAGUUCAAAUAUUUUCCUGGGUGCUUCUAAAGUCUGCACCUGAAUUUCAAUCUGGUGGCCACCAGUCGGCAGUAAGAUGAUACGCUCACGUGGGUGAGACCAGACCACAGGGUUUGGCUUUUUUACAAAGGAGUAUAGAUUUUGAAAUAUGUUACUGUAAUGCAUCAUUGACUCAAUGGACAUGAGUCUGAGUGAACUCCAGAAGUGGGUGAUGGACAGGGAGGCCUGGCAUGCUGUGAUUCAUGGGGUCGCAAAGAGUCGGACACAGCUGAGCGACUGAACUGACUGACUGACUAACUAAUUACAGGACUAAUGUCAGAGUUGGACCAAGGCUGAACACCAAAGAAUUGAUGCUUUCCAACUGUGGUGCUGGAGAAGACUCUUGAGAGUCCCUUGGACAGCAAAGAGAUCAAACCAGUCAAUCCUAAAGGAAAUCAACCCUGAAUUUUCACUGGAAGGACUGAUGCUGAAACUGAAGCUCCAGUACUUUGGCCACCUGAUGUGAAGAACUGAUGCAUUGGAAAGAACCUGAUGAAAGACUGAGGGCAGGAGGAGAAGAGGGCAACAGAGGGUGAGAUGGUUGUAUGUCUUCACUGACUCAAUGAACAUGAGUCUAAGCAAGCUCCAGGAGAUAGUGAAGGACAGGGAAGCCUGGCAUGCUGUAGUCUAUGGGGUUGCUAAGAGUUGGGCACGAUUGAGCAGCUGAACAGCAGCAGAAUCUAUGGAAUCAAUUAUGUAUGGCAAUGUUAAAUUUUAUGGAAGAUGACAAAUCAUGGCAUUUUCAGGUCAAAAUUCAUGUAUUAGAUAGUGGUUUUCAUUUACCAAAUGUAGAUCUGCAAUAACUUAUACUAUAUGAAUAUAAAAGCAAAAAUAGAUAUUCUAGAGAAGGAGAUAUGACUGUAGAAGGUCAGAGAGAUGCAACACUGAUAGCUUUGAAGAUGGAAGGGGACCAUGAGCCAAGGAAUGCAGUCUCUAGAAUGUGAGGAGGAACUACUAGUAGCCUUAUAGGAGGAAGAAAUCACAGAGGUCCCUCUCAGUCAUGUGAGGACUUAGUAAGAAGGCAUUUAUCUGCAAUCAGGAAGAGCCCUCACCAGAACCUGACCAUGCUGACAACCUGAUCUCAGAUUUCUAACCUCUUAUAUAAAAAAAAAAGUUCUAGAUUUCUCUACUUGCGUCCUAGAGCCAGAGAAUUAAGAGUAGUAGUAGAAACUUCAGAAUUUGGGAAAUGUUUCACAGAGUGCCUAGCAGUAAGGGAAAUCUUGAUGCCUAAAAAUAUUUUAUAGGUUUGGGAUUACUACUAGCUAGAGUGUGCUGAUAAAUGUUUACCAACCAAGGGGGAUUUGGGGAAGGGAGGAGAAAAGGUCUGAUACGUAAUCUUUGUCUUUGGUUUAAAUGAUUCAGACUUGGGUGGUUUCAAGCUACUGUAUGAGACCAGUGACCACAGAUUUUGGAAGAGAUACACACAAUGUGCUUUAACUGUUGUAGGAGGGUGGGGGGGGCCUGUCCAGGACCCCAAGAGCAGGCUCUUAUCUAACACUAGGAAAAGAAUUGUCCAAGGAGACACGUGCUGACAAAGCAAGAGACUUUCCUGGAAGAGACUUUAUCAGGUGGAGAGCAGCAGGGUAAGGGAACCCAGGAGAACUGCUCUGCCACGUGGCUCGCAGUCUCGGGUUUUAUGGUGAUGGGAUUAGUUUCCGGGUUGUCUUUGGCCAAUCAUUCUGAUGCAGAGUCCUUCCUGAUGGUGCAUGCAUUGCUCAGCCAAGAUGGACGCUAGCAAGAGGGAUUCUGGGGAGUGUAUGGACAUGCAGUGUCUCCUUUUGCUCUUUCCAGAACUCCUCCAGUUGGUGGUGGCUUAUUAGUUCCAUAUUCCUUACCAGGAUCUCCUGUUGUAAAACAACUUAUGGGAAUGGUUACUAGAGAGCCUGGCCAGGGUGGGCGGUUUCAGAGUGCUUCCCCUAACAUAACUAGCCAAUAAACUGGCCCCAACAUACAAAUAGCUAUAGGGCUCUGAAAGUUUCCUCACAUGGUUCCAUUAUUAAACAUCCCAUUGCUCUAACUGCUGCUUUAGUCACUCAAUCAUGUCCAGCUCUUUGCGACCCCAUGGACUGUAGCCCACCAGGCUCCUCUGUCCAUGGGAUUCUCCAGGCAAGAAUACUGGAGUGGGUAGCCAUUCCCUUCUCCAGGGGAUCUUCCUUACCAAGGGACUGAACCUGGGUCUCCCACAUUGCAGGCGGAUUCUUUACCACAUGAGCCACCAGGGAAGUCUAAAUUCUCUGCCAGAUGCUCUCAGGAAAUCUGGUGGUGGUGUUUGUGGGGGUGGAGGUAUGAUUUUCUCCAAUUGGGAUCAUGUCUUUGAUGUAGUAUUAAAAGAUAAUUUUUAAAAAAUCUUCUUUACAUUUAGUAGGCUGUUGAAGAACUACUUUAUAAAAAGUACCUGCAAUUCUCUUAUUUUAUUCAUUAUUAAGUUUUUUAAUGUGGUGAGCUAUUUUUCUUCUGACUCUCAUACAAUUUGUGUUUGUUUCAUACUGCUACAUAUUAGAGAAUUCUACAGUAUACAGGGCCUGAUAAAACUUCGAACGUUGAACAUUUUAAUUCAUAUAUGAAAUAAUUUGCAUAUAUUAAUUUUAUAUAUGUAAAUGAAGCUGUUUAUUAAUUUCAGAAAAGAAUCCUUUUACCCAAGUGUUUUGAGUAAGUAAUUUUUAGGAUUUUUAAUUGAAUUAUGUAUGUAAUCAUUAUUAAGGAUACCUGAAGUAAGUUACUUUGUAAUUUUUUAAACUACUCUGCAAGUCUGAAAGUGUUGAAUAAAUAUUUAAGUAUUGAGUCAGACUAAUUUGGAUAGAAAACCUGAAAAUGUUACUAAGUUAUCAAAAUAGAUUAAAAAAAGACUUUUCAAGUACAAGCAUCAUUUUUAAACUUAUAAGAAGAUAAAUGAAAAUUAUAUUUUCCUAGAAAUGCUAAAAAGAUAUAAAAUAUUCAUGGACUUCCCUGGUGGCUCAGACAGCAAAGCAUCUGUCUCCUGCUCAAUUGCAGGUGGAUUCCUUACCACCUGAGCCCCUGAUUCUCUUCAAUUUUAUCAAGACUGGGAAAGAUGAGGAAUCUUCAGAGGAAAAGCUUGAAGCUAGCAGAGCUUGGUUCAAGAGGUUAAGGAAAGAUGCUAUUUACAUAACAUAAAAGGGUCAAGUGAAGGAACAAGUGCUGAUGUAGAAGCUACAUCAAGUUGUCCAGGAGAUCUAGCUAAGGAAAUAAAUGAAAGCUGCACAAAAUGACCAGUUUUCACCUUAGACAAGAGAGCCUUGUAUUGUAAGAAGAUGCUAUCUAAGAAUUUGAUAGCUAGAGAAGAGAAAGAAAUGCCUGACUUCAAAGCUUCAAGGACUGGCUGACUCUUAUUAGGGUCUAAUGUAGCUGGUGACUUUAAAGAAACUAAUAGUCCUUUGCUGCUGCUGCUAAGUCGCUUCAGUCGUGUCCAACUCUGUGCGACCUCAGAGACGGCAGCCCACCAUGCUCCCCCGUUCAUGGGAUUCUCCAGGCAAGAACACUGGAGUGGGCUGCCAUUUCCUUCUCCAGUCUUUUACCAUUCUGAAAAUCCUAGUAUCCUUAAGAAAUAUGCUAAAUCUACUCUGCCUUUGCCCUCUCAGUGGAAUGACAUAGCCUGGAUGACAGUACAUCUCCUUAGAAGGUGGUUUACUGAUUAUUUUAAGCUCAUUGUUGAGACCUACUGCUCAGGAAAUAUUUCUUUCAAACUCGUCAGCAAUUAAUGCUCAUCGACAAUGCACCUGAUCACUCAAGAAAUCAGAUGGAGCGGUACAACUAGAUUAUUGUUGUUUUCAAGCCUGCACACACAGCAUCCAUUCUGCAGGUCAUGGAUCAGGGAGUAAUUUCACCUUCAAGUCUUAUUCUUUAAGAAAUAUAUUUUAUAAGGCUAUAACUGCCAUAGACAGUAAUUCUUUUGAUGGAUAUGACCAAAGGCAAUUGAAAACCUUCUAGAAAGGAUUCACCAGUCUAGUCAUCAUUAGGUACAUUCAUGAUUCAGGGGAAGAGGUCAGAAUAUCAACAUUCAUAGAGUCUGGAAGAAGUUUAUUUCAACGAUUAUGCAUGACUUGGAGAGAUUCAAGACUUCAGUUUAGGAAGUAACUGCAGAUAUGGUAGAUACAGCAAGAGGAUUAGAAUGAGAAAUGCAGCCUGAAGAUGUGACUGAAUUGCUGCAAUCUCAUGAUAAAAAUUUACAAGGAUGUAUUAUACAACAUGGGUAAUGUAGCCAAUAUUUUGCAAUGGAGUAUUUUUUUUAAUGUAGUGCAACCUUUACAAUUGUAUAAAAAUAAAAACAGUAAUUUAAGAAAGUUGGAUGGAUGAGAAGUCACUCCUUAUGAGUGAGUGAAGAAUGUGGUUUCCUGAGAUGAAAAAUGCCCCUGGUGAAGAUGCUGUAAAGAUUGUUGAAAUGGUAACAAAAGAUUUAGAAUAUUACAUAAACUUAGUUGCUAAAGUAUUGGCAGAUUUUGAGAGAAUUGAUUCUAAUUGUGAAAGAAUUUCUACUGUGGGUAAAAUGCAAUGCCCAGAGAAAUUGUUUGUGAAAAAUAGUGUCAAUCAAUGUGGCAAAACUUGCACUGUUGUCUUAUUUUAAGAAACAGCCACCCUAUCUUUAACAACCACAACUCUGAUCAUUUGGCAUCAUCUGCAUUGAGGUGCCACCCUCUGACUGCUAAGAUUAUGAGUAGUUGGAAGCUCAGAUGAUGGUGAGCAUUUUUUAGCAAUAAAGUAUUUUAAAAUUAAAUUUUCUACAUUUUUAAAAAGACUUAAUUGCACACUUAAUAGACUGUAACAUAAAAUAAACACAACUUUUAUAUGCAUUGUAAAACCAAAGACCAUUGGGCAUGCUUUGUUGUGAUAGACGCUUUGUUGUGGUGGUCUGGGACUGAACCUGCAGUGUCUCUGAGAUAUGCCUGCACACAGAAAAAAAGAGUCCAGCAGCAAAUGCCUUCAUGGUAAGGUAACAGUUUUUUUCAAGCUGAAAUGGUUAAUGAGUAUCUUCUCAGAAUGAUGAAUGGUGAAAAAUCAGAAUACUUACUCAUUUCAGAAUCUCAAGCUUUUAAUUUAAAAUUACAUUUAUCCAACUCUAUUUGAAAAUAAAUAAAUACUUCAUUGUUAACCAUGACUUUAAAACUUUAUUACCAAUUAAUGCAAAGAAAGCUACUAGAAAUAAUUUUAGUAAUAAAAAUUCUGAAUACUCAUCAUGAAAUAUAUGGGCUGAUUUUAGGAGUAUAACUAAAGACCUACAUGUAGGAGUAUAACUAAAAGCUUACAUGUAGGGCCACUAUCUUUCACAACGUGUGAAUGUGUGUGUGUGUGUGUGUGUAUAGUGUAUGUAUAUACACAGACUAUAUAGUAAUUAAUUUCCAUGAAGCAUACAUUAACUAAUCCUUGCAAUAAUUCCUCUGAUCUGAUCCAUCAAAAAAAGGUUAGACAUAUUUAGAGACUUGGAUUGCUUUACUUUAUGUGUGUGUGUGUCUGCAUUUCUGUGUGGGAGAGGUGGGAGGAGGGAGAGAUAACUGGUGUCAAUUUAAAAAGCCCAAGAUACGUAAUAUAGGAUAGUGGUAUAAUCGCAAAUUUAGAAAUCAGACCUAAAGUUUUGUUUCCUAUGUCUGCCACAUCUCAACUGUAUAACUUUGGCCAAGAUGUUUAACUUUUCUGAGUUUCUUAAUCUAUAAAAUUUAGAUUAUAAUAGUCACUGCACACACAGGCACAAAGAUGAAGUAACAUUUGUGGAACACAUAAAGGAGCACCUGGUGCAAAAUAUGUACACAACAGGAAAAUACAGUUAAUUUUUUAAUUUUUAAGACAUUAAACAUUAACAUUUUAAAUGUUAGGCCCAAAUGUAUAUGGCUUUGCUUUUUGUUCUUAUUUUCCUUCAAACAUACUUCAGAAAAAUUACAAAUUUAUUCUAAACCCAUAAAUUAAUGCAUUAGUCAGAAAGGCCUCUGACCCAACCACAAAUAUUAAUUUGGCAUAUUUUAAUAGAACUAUCAUUUUCAUUCUUUAAUAAAAACAUGAAAGUAAAAACUACUAUUAGUGUUUUUUUUUUAAGAGGUCUUUAAAAACAUUGCUUUCUGUUUGAGACUAGAUUAUCUUACAUUUUGUCAAAUCAGCAAAAAAAAUAAUAUUAAAAAUUCAGAUAUAAAUAUGUGGCAUCCAUUUUAGAUCAACUAGCCUCAAAAAUAUGUUUGACAGAUGUCUACCUCCAAAUCUUGCCCCAGCUUUCUACAUUAUAGUGAAUAGAGCUUUACUUAUUGGAGGGCCUCUGACAUGCUCAUUUUUGUUUAUAACCCCACAUAAGUUUCCACAUUUUUUGUGCAGUAGGAAAGCCACUAGCUAUUUCUGAUCCUAAAUGGGAUUCUCCCAUGGAUAACUUUUUCAUAGUUAACAAUAGAUAGAGAUUAAAACUGCAGGUUGUAUGAUAAAGUUGCUGGAAGUCAAAUCCUAGGGCAGGUUAUUCAACCCCUCUCUACUUCAGAUCCUCUGCAAGAGUAAUGCAUGCUAAGUCACUUCAGUUGUGUCCAACUCUUUGCGACCCUAUAUACUAUAGCCUGCCAGUCUCCUCUGUUCAUGGGAUUCUCCAGAAUAUUAGAGUGGGUUACCAUGCCCUCCUUGAGGGGAUCUUCCUGACCCAGGGAUCGAACCCACACCUGUUAUGUCUUCUGUAUUGGCGCAUGGGUUCUUUACCACUAGUGCCUCCUGGGAAGCCCUGUAGUAGUAACAGUAUCUACUUAACAGCCAGUUAAGUAGAUGCAGUAAUAACAGUAUCUACUUAAUUGACUGUUACAAUUAUUGAAUGAAGUAACACAUACUAAGGGCCUGGAAUAGUGCCUUGUACAUAGAAAGUGUUCAAUUAACAGUAGCUAUUAUUUCUGUGUGAAAAUAGCAUAAAUCACUUGGAUACAGAGAUUUCAAGAGCAAGUACUGAAGUUAAAGUUAGCAAUUACUGAGGGUAUGAGCAUAUCUAUGUUAAAUUUUCACAUCAUUAAAAUUAUGUAAAUUUCUUAACUUUUUUAUUUAACUCAAAGUGCUUUCAUCUAAAAUGAGUUUCUCUCCCUUUCUGUUGUCAUAGGUAAGACAGUUGAUAAGUGGCUAAGAUUGUAUCAUGGCUCUCUGGAGAUAAUAUAGUUUUUCUCAGAGGCAGAACUGAAAUGAGGAUGUAUCAUUUCCAGGAUCAGAUCAUUAGGCAUGAUCUCUUAAAAGUUGAAAAAAAAUCAGAAAAAAAUCAGUCACAUACAUUAUUAAUUCCUUAACAUGCUAAGACUAAAACAAAACUUUAGAGUAAAACAGGAAAAGAUAGAGAAUGAAACCUUUUCUAAAAGGAAGAAAUGAACAAGUUUUUCCCAUAAGCAUUAAAUCUACCUUGAAACACAGAUAAAGGGAGUAGGGGGAACCAGGCACCAAAAAAACAGAGAUUUGAAGGCAAGUGCAAUUAGCCCAAAGCCACAAGAAAAAAGCACUUUUUGUUUGUUUAUUUUCAAAGCAAUCAAAUCAGGUUCUGAAAUAGCUUUUCCAUUUUCUCCUUCUUAGUGAAAACAAACAUCACACAAAUCCCCCUGUGAAGGGAAUGCUGAGUAAAUUUGCAUGUACCUACAAAACAAAAGUAUUUGAAUGGGGCACUUAUUUUAAAUUACUGUAUAUCAACUUUUGCUUAUUAAAACACUUUAUAACACUUUAUGUUUAAACAAUUCUUUAAACUGUUUUCAGUUUAAUAAAACUCAUUUAGAGAAAGGAAGAGUAUCAGCUUAUAUACUACUGGUAGAUCUUAUAGCAUGUGAAUAUGCAAAGAUUUAUAAUUGGAUUUGAUUUUAACUUUUUUUUCACAUUUUUUUUUUUUACUUUACAAUAUUGUAUUGGUUUUGCCAUAUAUCAGCCAUGGGAGUAACUGAUUAUGAAAUCAUAAUCAAUUAUUCAAAAAUAUUUCAUAGGUUUAACAUCAACAUGUCAUGAAUCCAAAUACCUUUCAAUUAUAGACAACUUAAAAAUAUCAGGUUACAUGUGUACAAGUACAGAAGCUAUAAUAUACAAAAAAUUAGUUUAAAAUUCCCCACCAUAAAUUUCAAAUCCAAACUUGAGACUAAAGAUUUAUAAUGUCAUGUUUAAUGAAAAUACAUAUGUGUGUACAAAUACAUGUAAUUUUUUUAACAUUAGAAAGGUAAACACCAGCAUAGUAUUUAUUUAAAAGUACUAUCAAUUCUGGUUGAUUUUUAAACUAGUUUUUACUGAUCUGAUGGUUUAAAUUGUCCCAUUUUUAUAUUUUACUGUGGUAGUUGUAUCUUUUACUAGUUGUUUUUGAGUUACAUACUUUUUGUUUUUGGUGACCC
ensembl:lncRNA